UACGUAGGGGGCUAGCGUUGUCCGGAAUCAUUGGGCGUAAAGCGCGUGUAGGCGGUCCGGUAAGUCCGCUGUGAAAGUCGGGGGCUCAACCCUCGAAAGCCGGUGGAAACUGUCGGGCUAGAGUGCGGAAGAGGCGAGUGGAAUUCCUAGUGUAGAGGUGAAAUUCGUAGAUAUUAGGAAGAACACCAGUGGCGAAGGCGGCUCACUGGCCCGGUACUGACGCUGAGGCGCGAAAGCGUGGGGAGCAAACAGG
rnacentral:rRNA from 1 species